AGUCCAUCAUAUAUAGAGUUACGCAAAGAGUGAAGCCAAAUCUACCUAUUGAACUGUCAAACCGUCUACCUAUCGAGCAAAGUAAACAAAUGCUUGUUGGUAAGGCGGAAGUAUUGUUAUCGCCUAAUGAUUUUUAAUGGGGAAUUAAAACGCAUGAAUUGAAAUGUAUUAGAUUUGUUCUAGAAACAGCUUCAAAAAACUUCAAUACACCCCCCAAUAAAGUAGCAACAAGAAACUCACGUGUUUGCACUCUAUGGGUGACUGGGUUAUCGAAUUAAAAAGCUUUAGCAGUGAACACUACCGUGAAGUCACUUUAAGGGUUGAACAAAAAUGAAAGUUGCAAACAGAAUAACAAGAAGAUCAUUCAGAAUAAGUGUAAGAAGAUCCUCUUUGCGCAACUCUAUAUAAUAGACUCUGGUCCAGAUUGAAUUUAUUUCGGUCGUCUGGCUGAACAUUAUGACGGUACUGAGCAUGAGAAGUCACAAGAGGCUCGGACCAAGCUGAACCUCCCGGGAACCAAUGGAGUAUCUGCACCCGUUGCAUAAACAGCCGCGGAAACGGACACCUUCGACAACAUCGCAAAUAAAUCCUGCCGGAUCUCCAGCUGCGACCGCUCCGACAAUGAGACACCUGUCUAGAUGCUGCAUUCCAAACCUUUUGCGGUCUACUCUAGGAAUACGGGAAGAAGGUGGGCUAUUUUUUUUUGUUGCUUCAAGCCAGCGCGCAGUCGGGACCGCAGAUACAACUGCGUCGGUGAUGUAACCGCAGCCGGUGUGCUCCUCAGUGAAGUGGACAACUUGCCACCAUCAAACAGAACUUU